CCAAAAUUUCAAGACAAAACCCCUCUCCCUCUCCUCCUCUUGGCCGAACCAACCUCUCCCUCUCACCCUCAAAAUUUUUCUUCAAUCUAACUCCUCAAUCUUGUUUUAUGGCUCUUAGUUGGAGAUCUAGGGUUUGGAAGAAGAUUGGAGUGUCCAUCAAGAGGAGAUCUAAGAGUCUCCAAAGCAAGCCAAGUCUCAAAUCCAAGGUAAAAUACCUACAAUCAUUGUUGGAAUUUGCAAAGAAGGACGAGUACGAUGGAGGGAUCGGGCAAUAGAUACUACCAUGCAGACAAAUACCGCAAAGAUU